rnacentral:rRNA from 1 species
AUGGUGUUGCUUGACAUUAGGGGUAUGUUGCAGUCCAUGGGCAAAGACAUAGCUGAUUUCGCUCUUCCAUGCAUUGACAAUGCGUUCAACCCAACUGAGGGCGAGGCCAGAGAAGUGAUCGAGGAAUCCAACAUCAAUUUUGACAUCAACGACACUAAAUUGGCAUCGUCGCUAAACUUCGAGCAGAGGGUUGCAUAUGACGAGAUACUAGCUGCUAUUGAUGGCGGCGAUGGGGGUGUGUUCUUUGUUGAUGGCCCGGGAGGUACAGGGAAGACCUUCCUGUACAGGGUGCUGCUCACCAAGGUUUGAAGCAAGGGAAACAUCGCUAUCGCUACCGCGACGUCAGGCGUCGCGGCUUCUAUCAUGCCUGGAGGCAGGACUGUCCACUCUAGGUUCAAGAUCCCAUUGAGUUGCGACGAUGGCGCCUCCUGCACCUUCACGAAGUAG